rnacentral:rRNA from 1 species
UACGUAGGGUGCAAGCGUUGUCCGGAAUUAUUGGGCGUAAAGAGCUCGUAGGCGGCUUGUCGCGUCGAAUGUGAAAUCUCAGGGCUCAACUCUGACAUUGCAUUCGAUACGGGCAGGCUAGAGUUCGGUAGGGGAGACUGGAAUUCCUGGUGUAGCGGUGAAAUGCGCAGAUAUCAGGAGGAACACCGGUGGCGAAGGCGGGUCUCUGGGCCGAUACUGACGCUGAGGAGCGAAAGCGUGGGGAGCGAACAGGA